rnacentral:rRNA from 1 species
GACGAACGCUGGCGGCGUGCUUAACACAUGCCAGUCGAACGGAAAGGCCCUGCUUUUGUUGGGUGCUCGAGUGGCGAACGGGUGAGUAACACGUGAGUAACCUGCCCUUGACUUUGGGAUAACUUCAGGAAACUGGGGCUAAUACCGGAUAGGAGCUCCUGCUGCAUGGUGGGGGUUGGAAAGUUUCGGCGGUUGGGGAUGGACUCGCGGCUUAUCAGCUUGUUGGUGGGGUAGUGGCUUACCAAGGCUUUGACGGGUAGCCGGCCUGAGAGGGUGACCGGCGACAUUGGGACUGAGAUACGGCGCAGACUGCUACGGGAGGCAGCAGUGGGGAAUAUUGCACAAUGGGCGGAAGCCUGAUGCAGCAACGCCGCGUGCGGGAUGACGGCCUUCGGGUUGUAAACCGCUGUCGCCUGUGACGAAGCGUGAGUGACGGUAAUGGGUAAAGAAGCACCGGCUAACUACGUG